rnacentral:rRNA from 1 species
AGCUCCACUAGCGUAUAUUAAAGUUGUUGCAGUUAAAAAGCUCGUAGUUGAACUUCUGAUUGUUGCUUGAGUCGGUAUUUAUAUCGCUCUAGCGGCAGUCAUCCGUCUGCAAACUUUUACAUCCUUAACUGGUUUGUCUAAGGGAGCAGGCAUUUUACUUUGAAAAAAUUAGAGUGUUUAAGGCAGGCGCAAGCCUGAAU